AUUGAACGCUGGCGGCAGGCUUAACACAUGCAAGUCGAGCGGAGAUGAGGUGCUUGCACCUUAUCUUAGCGGCGGACGGGUGAGUAAUGCUUAGGAAUCUGCCUAUUAGUGGGGGACAACAUUCCGAAAGGAAUGCUAAUACCGCAUACGUCCUACGGGAGAAAGCAGGGGAUCUUCGGACCUUGCGCUAAUAGAUGAGCCUAAGUCGGAUUAGCUAGUUGGUGGGGUAAAGGCCUACCAAGGCGACGAUCUGUAGCGGGUCUGAGAGGAUGAUCCGCCACACUGGGACUGAGACACGGCCCAGACUCCUACGGGAGGCAGCAGUGGGGAAUAUUGGACAAUGGGCGGAAGCCUGAUCCAGCCAUGCCGCGUGUGUGAAGAAGGCCUUUUGGUUGUAAAGCACUUUAAGCGAGGAGGAGGCUACUUAGAUUAAUACUCUAGGAUAGUGGACGUUACUCGCAGAAUAAGCACCGGCUAACUCUGUGCCAGCAGCCGCUGUAACAC
rnacentral:rRNA from 1 species